CAGUCGCCGCGGGAAUACGUAGGGUGCGAGCGUUAAUCGGAAUUACUGGGCGUAAAGCGUGCGCAGGCGGUUAUAUAAGACAGAUGUGAAAUCCCCGGGCUCAACCUGGGACCUGCAUUUGUGACUGUAUAGCUAGAGUACGGUAGAGGGGGAUGGAAUUCCGCGUGUAGCAGUGAAAUGCGUAGAUAUGCGGAGGAACACCGAUGGCGAAGGCAAUCCCCUGGACCUGUACUGACGCUCAUGCACGGAAGCGUGGGGAGCAAACAGGAUUAGAUACCCCCGUAGUCCCUGUCUCUUAUAC
rnacentral:rRNA from 1 species